rnacentral:rRNA from 1 species
CGCUGGCGGCGUGCCUAAUACAUGCAAGUCGAACGGUCUUUCUAUGGAAGCUUGCUUCCACUGAAAAGAUAGUGGCGAACGGGUGAGUAACACGUGGGGUAACCUGCCCAUAAGAGGGGGGAUAACAUCCGGAAACGGGUGCUAAUACCGCAUAGUUUUCUUGAUCGCAUGAUCGGGAAAGGAAAGACGGCCUUUGUGCUGUCGCUUAUGGAUGGACCCGCGGCGUAUUAGUUAGUUGGUGAGGUAACGGCUCACCAAGACGAUGAUACGUAGCCGACCUGAGAGGGUGAUCGGCCACAUUGGGACUGAGACACGGCCCAAACUCCUACGGGAGGCAGCAGUAGGGAAUCUUCCGCAAUGGACGAAAGUCUGACGGAGCAACGCCGCGUGAGUGAAGAAAAGGUUUUCGGAUCGUAAAACUCUGUUGUCAGAGAAGAACAAGUUGGAGAGUAACUGCUCCAGCCUUGACGGUAUCUGACCAGAAAGCCACGGCUAACUACGUGCCAGCCGCUGC